rnacentral:rRNA from 1 species
ACGUAGGAGGCGAGCGUUAUCCGGAUUUACUGGGUGUAAAGCGCGUGCAGGCGGUCGUGUAAGUGGUGCGUGAAAGCUCCCGGCUCAACCGGGAGAGGACGUGCCAAACUGCAGGGCUAGAGGCAGGUAGAGGCGUGUGGAAUUCCGGGUGUAGUGGUGAAAUGCGUAGAGAUCCGGAGGAACACCAGAGGGGAAGGCGACACCCUGGGCCGUACCUGACGCUAAGACGCGACAGCACGGGGAGCGAACGG